AUGUGUUUCAGAGUUGGGUUUGAUCCUCCCGUGGCUCGGGUUCUGGGGGGUCAAAAGAGGGCGGUGGUUGAACGGGCAAGUGCUUUUGGUCCCGGGUGGGGCCGGCGCGACAGGGACGGGUGGGGGGAAGCGGUCAAGGAACGCGGCAGGUGGUCCCUCUCGGCGCCGCUGGCGUCGUUGACUCGUGUUGCUCCAGCGGUGCUCUGUUCUGCUCGAUUAUUGUUUGUUUGCUUGCUUGGGCUCGUUUGGCGUGCGGUGCGGCUGGCUACGGCCACACCCGCCAGCCAGUGUGGACGUCCGGUCGAUAGCGUCUUGGUUGGUUCGCCAACGGUGUCGUUGAAAAUCGGGCGUUGA
rnacentral:rRNA from 1 species